UCUCAAUGCAUUCCAUGAAAUAUUUUUAAUAUAGACUUUAAUGUUGCAAUCGCUGAUCACAUGCACAAAAUUACUUUAUUCCACUGCAGAGCACGAUAGAUUGUACCCAUCAAUGACGGAGAUACCACAAGUUAUAAAAACGUUGAAUCAACUAUCGAAAACAGUCUUAUUGGUACAGCGAUUUAGAAGUAAAAAUGAGCAUUGCCUAAAUGAGUGGACACGAAAGCCAAAACGAAGUAGCUCGAGUAUCUAAUCUUUACUGUACCGGUACGAAACCGUUUUCUUGCCGACUUGGACUGACCAGUGACCACUAGAUCGCAACGAUCGAGCACGCCAAACCACUACCAAGCUAUCUACAUAUUCACCUUCACACGCACAGCUUAAAAGCAACAAUCAGAUAUAUUAAAAAAGCAGUGAACAUAAGAAUACCAGAAAAGCCAACAGUUUGUUGUGUAGAAACAAGUACCGGAAUGUAGAAAAUACUUAGAAUAUGGCACAUAAUUAAAAAUUGAAGUA